rnacentral:rRNA from 1 species
AGUGAACGCUGGCGGUAGGCCUAACACAUGCAAGUCGAACGGCAGCACAGUAAGAGCUUGCUCUUACGGGUGGCGAGUGGCGGACGGGUGAGGAAUACAUCGGAAUCUACUUUUUCGUGGGGGAUAACGUAGGGAAACUUACGCUAAUACCGCAUACGACCUACGGGUGAAAGCAGGGGAUCUUCGGACCUUGCGCGAUUGAAUGAGCCGAUGUCGGAUUAGCUAGUUGGCGGGGUAAAGGCCCACCAAGGCGACGAUCCGUAGCUGGUCUGAGAGGAUGAUAAGCCACACUGGAACUGAGACACGGACCAGACUCCUACGGGAGGGAGCAGUGGGGAAUAUUGGACAAUGGGCGCAAGCCUGAUCCAGCCAGACCGCGUGGGUGAAGAAGGCCUUCGGGUUGUAAAGACCUUUUGUUGGGAAAGAAAAGCAGCAGGUUAAUACCCCGCUGUUCUGACGGUACCCAAAGAAUAAGCACCGGCUAACUUCGUG